rnacentral:rRNA from 1 species
CCCUUAGAUGUCCCGGGCCGCACGCGCGCUACACUGACAUGUUCAACAAGCCUCCUAGUUCGACAGGACUUGGGAAAUCUUUGAACGCAUGUCGUGAUAGGGAUAGAUCAUUGCAAUUAUUGAUCUUGAACGAGGAAUUCCUAGUAAACGCGAGUCAUCAGCUCGCAUUGAUUACGUCCCUGCCCUUUGUACACACCGCCCGUCGCACCUACCGAUUGAAUGUUUCGGUGAAGAUUCCGGAUAGGACUUUUUUGAUUUAUUUCAAUUCUGUCUUAAAAGCUAUCUAAACCUCAACAUUUAGAGGAAGGUGAAGUCGUAACA